rnacentral:rRNA from 1 species
CCUACGGGUGGCAGCAGUGAGGAAUAUUCGUCAAUGAGCGCGAGCCUGAACCAGCCACGUAGCGUGAAGGAUGACUGCCCUAGGAGUUGUAAACUUCUUUUAUAGAGGAAUACAGUUAGUCACGUGUGCCUUUUUAUAUGUACUUUAUGAAUAAGGAUCGGCUAACUCCGUUCCAUCCGCCGCGGUACUACGGAAGAUCCGACCCUUAUCCGGAUUUAUUGGGUUUAAAGGGAGCGUAGGUGGGUUUUUAAGUCAGUUGUGGAAGUUUGGGGCUCAACCGUAAAAUUGCACUUGAUACUGGCAGUCUUGAGUACAGUUGAGGUAGGCGGAAUUCGUGGUGUAGCGGUGAAAUGCGUAGAUAUAACGAAGAACGCCGAAGGCGAAGGCAGCUUACUAAACUGCCACUGACAUUGAUGCUCGAAAGUGUGGGUAGCAAACAGGAUUAGAUACCCGGGUAGUC